rnacentral:misc_RNA from 1 species
GUCGGCAUAGUGCAGUAGUAACAGGUCAGCUUUUUGAUCCUGGUUUCUUAUUUCAUGUAAUGCUGAAACAAUGUUGAGUUCCUGAACUACUACCAGCCAUUAAAUUUUUUUGGAGCUUCCUAUCUUUCAAUAAAUCUCUCAUUUGCUUUGCUGUGUAAGUUGAUCUUGCAUAGCAUUUUGGAGGAAUUCUUGAUUUUGCAAAUGGUGUAAAUGGUCAGUUGGCAAUUUUCUGAUGUGCCAUCUUACUUCAUCACUUGAUCCCAUUGUAGAUGCUGGAGCACUAUUUACAUU